AACAGAUCAUGAGGAUGUUCUACCUGGUUUUCAUGGUGCUCUUUAUGAUCAUCUACUGUACUGACUCAGGAAACCCUAACGCUGGUCACAAUAAGAUGUGUAGAAUGAAUAAGGGUAAAUGUAUUCGUGCUAAGUGCCGAGACGAUAUCUAUGUAUCCAAGGGAAAAUGUGAUUUUCCAGGAAAAAAUUGUUGUGUGCUAAAAACAGAUUUGACAGAGAGAAGAAAGUGAAAUGAAUUGAGGCUUCAGAAUAGGAAAAUUUAUCUUGCUGCACAAGAAAAAUUGGAUCUAGAAAAAAAGAAAAAAAAAAAAAACCUGAGAAGGAAAACAAAAAUGCAAACAAACAAUAACAGGAAGAGUGGAAAUGCUAUGUUGUGGUCCACACUCAGUUCCCAUGGUCCUCUCUCUGGAUGUAGAUGACUCUCUUCAUCAUCGAACAAUUGGAACUGGUUUGAAUCAUCUCGUUGUUGAAAAGAGCCACGUCUAUCAGAAUUGAUCAUCAUAUAUAGUCUUAUUGUUGCCAUGUAUAAUGAUCUCCUGGUACUCAUUUCACUCAGCAUCAGUUCAUCUAAAUCUCUCCAGGCCUCUCUGAAAUCUUCCUGCUGGUCAUUUCUUACAGAACAAUAAUA